GUCUAAGCCACGCGCGGGCAUCCGGACGCGGCCCAGCUGUGUUUACAUGCUGCUGCUGCACGUGCUGGCUGGCCUUUAACUCGCCCUAUUUCCUCCCCCCCGAGGCCCUGCACCUCCUCAGCGGCUCUGUAGGCUCUGAAGGGAGCAAUGAGCGCUGCCUGCCUGAGCCGGGCCCCAGCAGACUCAGCAGCAUGGAGGGGGAACUACUGGCUCUAAGGUGGAACAACCACUUGUCAACCUUCGCUACACUCCUCUCAGACCUUCGCAAUGAGGAGACCUACUCAGACGUCACCAUUGCGUGUGGGGGGCGGCUGUACCCGGCCCACAAGUUCGUGCUGUCCGCCUGCAGUGAAUACCUCAGGGUCAUGCUGUGCGCCCAUCCCAACAAACACCCAAUCCUCUACCUGAAGGAUGUGCCGAAGGAGGACCUUGAGGCCAUCCUGGACUACAUGUACGCGGGGACGGUCAAGGUUGCACACUCCAGCCUGGCGUCGCUCCUGCACACCGCCGAGGGGCUUCAAGUUAAGGGCCUCAUCAUACCGGACCACUUCCGCGGCACUCCCUCCACCAAACCCAUCCAUCCAGGCCUCAAGCGGAAGAGCACCGAUGAGGAGAACCAGUCCAACGCCUCCGCCACCUCCCCUCAGAAGCACGUCCGGCGGGGGGCUCCAGACUCCCCCUCCGAGCCCCCGCCGAACGAUGAGCCUCAGGAGGGCGAGAGAGUGCCACAGGAGGAGGGUGCCGAGGAGACCUGCAGCCAAGAGUGCCAGUCUGAGGGUCUCCCACUGGCGGGCUGGGGCUACAGAGGCAUUGGUUACGCGCCCUGGUACCCCCGACACAAUGGACAGGACCAGCUUCUCGGCAACCCUUACAGCGACGAGGACAAAGUAAACAUCAAGGAGGAGCCUGUAGAGGAGGAGGAGGAGGAACAGGAGGACAAACCAGAGCCAGGCGAGGAUAACAAGGCCCCGGACAGCUCGAAGGAGGCAGAGGAGGAGGAGGAGGAGUUUGAGGGCUUCGAGGAGAGCGAACAUGGAUGCGAUGUGAAGAAGGAGGAGGAAGAGGACGAGGAGGAGGACUUGAAUGAGGAGAGUAGAGAAGAGGGAGAGAGCAACGAGGAUAACCCGACAUCGAAGGACCCCAAUCUGGCCAGCUUCCUCGAGGUCAUGUGCACCGAGAACACCAACGAGAACUCCAGCGAUGCCAAGGAGUACCGGGAGAUGUUCCAGUACGACGACAACUCCAUGGUCUCGAACGGCCAGAGGGAAGGCUCGUCACGCAUCAACGCCCAGCAGUGUCCCUUCUGCCUCAAGCUGCUGACCACGCGCUCCAAUCUCCAGCGCCACAUUGCCACGCACCACACCCGCCAGUCCUUCACCUGCCCGACCUGUGAGAAGACGUUCACGCGCAAGGACCGGCUGACGGAACACGUGAAGCUGCACACCGGUGAGGCGCCGUACACCUGUGACGAGUGUGGCAAGAACUUCUCACGCCGCGACAACCUCAACGUACACAGACGAACGCACACAGGGGAGCGGCCAUACUCCUGCGAUGUGUGUGGGAAGACCUUCUCGCGCAAGGAGUAUAUCGGGGAGCACAUGGCUGUUCACUCCGACUACAAGCGCUUCUCCUGUCGCUGGUGUUCCAAGGAGUUCAAACACAAGCAGAGCCUCCGUCACCACAUCAAGAGUGCGCACGACACCUCCAAGAUGACCGACGAGGCCUCCCAGAGCGCCCCGCCAAUGCUCGUGCAACUUAACUUCUCCGAUGAUAACGUGUAGGUGGUGACGUGAGCCCGUGAUGUGGUGUCGGCGAGUUUGGCGUCGUUUUCUCGGGUUUUUGAAGGAGGUGAAAAUGUUCUGGCCGGUGAGGGUUCGCAACGAUGUGAUGUGAUGUUAUGCUAUGUCAGUGGUUUGGUGCAUUCAUCCGUUGCCAUAUUCUUCUUACAUGAAAGUGAUUGAAAAGUCUAUGCGAGUCAUGCCGUGUGAUCUGUUUUUAAUCCCGCCAGCCAGCUAUUUCCUUAAGCCUGGUCCCGUUCUCCUUUCAUGUGUAUUUCCUCCUUAUGGUAAACUUAAAUUCCUUCAAGAUGGGAGCUUCUAGACACCUCGCUAACGUAAUUCAACACUCACUUUGUUUACUCUUAAUAUUUUCUUCCGUUUUCAAUUUCUUCUUUUCUUUCAUUUUCAUAUACCUGAGGAAGCUGUUAAGGGACCCCCCCCCAAGCCCCCCUCCCCCCCACACACACAUAACUACUGCUUGUAUGUGUGUUAUGAUGGUAGCGGGUUUUCUUUCUGCUGUGCCCUUGACCUGCCAGACUCCCUUACCGUAAAAAUAAAGUCAAGUACGAACGGCCGUGACUUAAUGAAUUAGCUGAGUGUGGGUGACUCGAGAUGACGUGAUGGGAUGGGAUGUUACGCUCAUGUUACGCUACACUGGCCGGCCGGCUCGUCCAUCCAUCACCCUUUUUCCUCUUUAGUGAAAAUAGAUGAAUUCGUCCGGCGAUGUGACGACAACGAUAAGUGACGAGGUGAUGUGAUAUAAUGUGAUGCUAUUCUAUGCCAUGCCACUGUGGUUGAUCGGGUUUAUCCGUGGCCAUAUCCUCCGUGAUUGAAAAUAAGAUAAUUGAAAAGGUGUUUGUGCCGAGGGUAAGGUGAUGAAAUGAUGAUGUGUGGUGAUAUGCCAUGAUGUUUAGAUUCUUUACUCAUCGCCAUUUUCUCCUUAAGUGAAAAUACGAAUUGAAAACAUGAUAGGGAUUGAUGGUAAGGUGUUUAACCCAUCGCUGUGUUCUCCUUAACUGAAAAUAUGAAUUGAAAACACGAAAGGGAUUGAUGGUAAGCUGUUUAACCCAUCGCUGUGUUCUCCUUAACUGAAAAUAUGAAUUGAAAACAUGAUAGGGAUUGAUGAUAAGCUGUUUAACCCAUCGCUGUGUUCUCCUUAAAUGAAAAUAUGAAUUGAAAACACGAAAGGGAUUGAUGGUAAGCUGUUUAACCCAUCGCUGUGUUUUCCGUAACUGAAAAUAUGAAUUGAAAACAUGAUAGGGAUUGAUGGUAAGGUGUUUAACCCAUCGCUGUGUUCUCCUUAAAUGAAGAUAGGAAUUGAUGAUAAACUGUUUAACCCAUCGCUGAGUUCUCCGUAACUGAAAACACGAACGGAAAACACGAUGAGGGAAAAUAAGGAUGUCAAAUGAGAGAAGUAGAAGAUGAGGUGAUGGGACGAUGUGAUUUGGUGACGUGAUGUGAUGUUCGCUGUGCCGGUUGGGUGGUUGAUCGGUUAGGUCGCUGCCAUACUGUCGUUCUUAAUUGGUGUGUGUUCCGUGUCAUAUCAAUCAGAAUCUGCCACUCGCCCGCUCAGUCAGUCGGCGGGUCAGUCAGUCAAUCAAAAUGUGUUGUGAUAAUUGUUUUACUGACCACAUUAUUAAGAUGAUGAUGAUGUUUAUAGUGUAAUCAAAGAGUUUUUUUUUUUUUAUCAUUUAUCAUCAGAUGAGAGUAUAUAUAUAUUGUUGCUUAAAUAAAUAAUUGCCUAUCGCAGUACAUAAUUUGCUUACUGUUUUGGGGUGAAAUAUAUUAUACGUAUAUUGGAUGCAUAUUACUAUUUUAUUAUUAGGGUUCUUAAUAACUAUAAAACAAAGUCAACAUUUUCAACUCAUACACUUAAUCAUUAACAAUUAGUCCAUAUUUUCAGUCAAUUAUGUAUUUUUUAAGUGUACAUUAACUUGACAAUUCUUGAUGCCAUAUUUGUGAUUGCGUUAAAAUUGUGGGUUGUGUCAUUGGUCUAGUAACGAGAGAGAUGUGAUGGUGAGAGAGAGGAGAGAGGAAGAAAUAAAUAUAUAGAGAGAGGGAUCAGUCUGGGGAAGGUUGCACUGUAAAAGAGAGAGAGACAAAUAGAAGUUUCCCAUCAGGUUCAAGUUUAAGUAUAGAGAGGGAGGGAUCAGUCUGGGGAAGGUUGCACUGUAAAAGAGAGAGACAAAUAGAAGUUUCCCAUCAGGUUCAAGUUUAAGUAUAGAGAGAGAGGGAUCAGUCAGGGGAAGGUUGAACUGUAAAAGAGACAAAUAGGAGUUUCCCAUCAGGCUCAAGUUUAAGUAUAGAGAGGAAGGGAUCAGUCAGGGGAAGGUUGCACUGUAAGAGAGACAGACAAGUAGAAGUUUCCCAUCAGGCUCAAGUUUAAGCAUAGAGAGAGGGAUCAGUCAGGGGAAGGUUGAACUGUAAAAAAGAGAGACAGAUAGAAGUUUCCCAUCAGGCUCAAGUUUAAGUAUAGAGAGCAGGAGGGAUAAGUCAGUUUCCCAUCAGGCUCAAGUUUAAGUAUAUGUCAGUUUGUACGCACCAUACCAGUUUAUACUUAUCAGAAAAAGGAAAACUGAGCAGAAACAUAGAGAGUAAAGUUAAAAUAAAGUGAUAAUCUGGUUUUGACUAUUUCGUUUAUAUUAGUGCUAAGUUUUCUUUGUUUUUUUUGUGAUUGGAAUGGUUGAUGCAAAACGAUGAACACUGUAAAUUUGUUUAAGCUCACAAAGUUAUGAGUCAUCGAUGAAGUUGGUUUCAAGCUGUCCGAUUUAUUUUACUUUAUUAUUAUUAUAUUUUUUUUGCCGUUUCUACUAUAAAAAAAAAUAUCUAAAAUGACGUCCAAUACUACUACUACUACUACUACUACUACUAUUCUUUUAUCACAGAACAUCCUCACCCACUCCUACUAUUAUGUUUGAUUUAUUUAUUUAUUCUUAUUACGAUCGUCCUUCAAAUAGUACGGUUUCCAAUAGUUCGGUUUCAGUUUUAUACGUUGUGUCAUGGAAGAUCUUUUUAGGAUUUUUAAAUUUCGUGCUCAUCGGGAAAUUAAAAAAUCCUAAAAAAACCUUCUAUGAAAAUCCACAUAAAACCAAAACCGAAUUGGAAACCGUACUAUUUGAGGGACGACUGUAUCAUUGGCGCAGACUGUGAUGUUGCGAAUGGCCGCACAAACUCGCUAUAUACAUAUACUUGGUGCUAAGGCCUGGGAGCUUCUAACGCCAAGACUGUUUUAAUCUUUUCACACUUGUUUGAUUUAUAGUUUGUUUCUCAUACUUCCCAAUCAUGUUCCGUCCUCAUUCCGUGUCUGAAUAGAAGUAGGGUUUGUUCACUACUCCAAUUAGUCCUCACAUUAGAAUUCCUCAUAUUAAUUAACCAUAGCUUAUAUUUAUCAUUAAUGUAUAUCUUUUUCUCAUUAUCAUUACCUCUUGGAAUGGUGUGGAAUCAAUGGCAAAUAUCUCCCUUUGAUAAGUUUAACCCGGUAGCUGCGGGGAUCAUGUUUCUUAAAGGUCCCUCUAAGUGAGAAUAUUGAGAAAAAAUCAUCACUCACGCAAACCAUUUCAUAAUAUAUAUCAAUGUAUUUGUGAUCAGUUUAUAUCAUGGGAAAAAUUUGGCCCGUCGUUGGUACACGGUAAAGCCACAAAUUUGGCCCGUCGCUGGUACACGGUAAAGCCACAAAUUUGGCCCGUCGCUGGUACACGGUAAAGCCACAAAUUUGGCCUGUCGCUGGUACACGGUAAAGCCACAAAUUUGGCUCGUCGCUGGUACACGGUAAAGCCACAAAUUUGGCCCAUCGCUGGUACACGGUAAAGCCACAAAUUUGGCCCGUCGCUGGUACACGGUAAAGCCACAAAUUUGGCCCGUCGCUGGUACACGGUAAAGCCACAAAUUUGGACAGUCG